rnacentral:misc_RNA from 1 species
AAGUCGUAACAAGGUUUCCGUAGGUGAACCUGCGGAAGGAUCAUUACAAAGACUUUUUUUUUGUGAAUCGGAAGUCUAGUGCUUCAUGAUACACCAAAAAAAAAUCACACCCAUCUUUGUUCUGCUCUCAAGUUUCUUGAGAGUUGGAAUAAAAGAACAUCUUUUGUGCACCGUAAAAACAUUCGCGUUUAAAAUUUACUAAAGCCUUAUGCAACAUACUUGAAUCUUAUAUUUAAUUCUUCACAGAAUAAAAAAAUAAGAGACAAAUAAUACAAAAACAACUUUUAACAAUGGAUCUCUUGGCUCUC